GAUGAACGCUGGCGGCGUGCCUAAUACAUGCAAGUCGAGCGAACGGACGAGAAGCUUGCUUCUCUGAUGUUAGCGGCGGACGGGUGAGUAACACGUGGAUAACCUACCUAUAAGACUGGGAUAACUUCGGGAAACCGGAGCUAAUACCGGAUAAUAUUUUGAACCGCAUGGUUCAAAAGUAAAAGACGGUCUUGCUGUCACCUAUAGAUGGAUCCGCGCUGCAUUAGCUAGUUGGUAAGGUAACGGCUUACCAAGGCAACGAUGCAUAGCCGACCUGAGAGGGUGAUCGGCCACACUGGAACUGAGACACGGUCCAGACUCCUACGGGAGGCAGCAGUAGGGAAUCUUCCGCAAUGGGCGAAAGCCUGACGGAGCAACGCCGCGUGAGUGAUGAAGGUCUUCGGAUCGUAAAACUCUGUUAUUAGGGAAGAACAUAUGUGUAAGUAACUGUGCACAUCUUGACGGUACCUAAUCAGAAAGCCACGGCUAACUACGUG
rnacentral:rRNA from 1 species